rnacentral:rRNA from 1 species
GUGGGGAAUUUUGCACAAUGGAGGAAACUCUGAUGCAGCGACGCCGCGUGAACGAUGAAGGUCUUCGGAUUGUAAAGUUCUGUCCUGGAUGAAGAUAAUGACGGUAAUCCAGGAGGAAGCCCCGGCUAACUACGUGCCAGCAGCCGCGGUAAUACGUAGGGGGCGAGCGUUGUCCGGAUUUAUUGGGUGUAAAGGGUACGCAGGCGGUCUAUUAAGUUUGGCGUGAAAUUCCGGGGCUUAACCCCGGCAAGCGUUGAAAACUGGUAGACUUGAAUAGUGGAAGAGACAGUGGAAUUCCUAGUGUAGCGGUGAAAUGCGUAGAGAUUAGGAAGAAUACCGAUGGCGAAAGCAACUGUCUGGACACAUAUUGACGCUUAGGUACGAAAGCGUGGGGAGCAAACAGGAUUAGAUACCCUAGUAGUCC